rnacentral:rRNA from 1 species
UAAGAAAGGGACUAGCGUUGUUCGGAAUUACUGCUCGUAAAGCGCACGUAGGCGGCCUUGUAAGAUGGGGGUGAAAUCCCCGGGCUCAACCCGGGAACUGCCAUCAUGACUGCAAAGCUAGAGGAUGCGAGAGGUUAGCGGAAUUCCGAGUGUAGAGGAGAAAUUCGUAGAUAGUCGGAAGAACACCAGUGGCGAAGGCGGCUAACUGGCGCAUUUCUGACGCUGAGGUGCGAAUGCGUGGGGAGCAAACAGG